AGUGAACGCUGGCGGUAGGCCUAACACAUGCAAGUCGAACGGCAGCACAGUAAGAGCUUGCUCUUACGGGUGGCGAGUGGCGGACGGGUGAGGAAUACAUCGGAAUCUACUUUUUCGUGGGGGAUAACGUAGGGAAACUUACGCUAAUACCGCAUACGACCUACGGGUGAAAGCAGGGGAUCUUCGGACCUUGCGCGAUUGAAUGAGCCGAUGUCGGAUUAGCUAGUUGGCGGGGUAAAGGCCCACCAAGGCGACGAUCCGUAGCUGGUCUGAGAGGAUGAACCCCCCACUGGAAAGUGGACCCCGUCCCAACCACGACGGGGGGGACGGAGUGGGGAAUAUUGAAAAAGGGGGCAAGGCCUGACCCACCCUUACCGCGUGGGUAAAGAAGCCCUUGGGGUUUAAAACCCUUUUUUGGGGAAAAAAAAAGCAGCAGUUUAACCCCCCGUUUUUCUGGCGGUACCAAAAAAAAAAGCCCCGGCUAAUUUCG
rnacentral:rRNA from 1 species